AAGCCUGACGCAGCAACGCCGCGUGAGGGACGAAGGCUUUCUGAGUUGUAAACCUCUUUCGACAGGAACGAUUGUGACGGUACCUGUAGAAGAAGCACCGGCCAACUAUGUGCCAGCAGCCGCGGUGAUACAUAGGGUGCAAGCGUUAUUCGGAUUUAUUGGGCGUAAAGAGCUCGUAGGCGGUUCGAUAAGUCGGGUGUUAAACCCCCAGGCUCAACCUGGGGCCGCCACCCGAAACUGUCGUGACUAGAGUUUGGUAGGGGAUCACGGAAUUCCUGGUGUAGCGGUGGAAUGCGCAGAUAUCAGGAGGAACACCAGUAGCGAAGGCGGUGAUCUGGGCCAAUACUGACGCUGAGGAGCGAAAGCGUGGGGAG
rnacentral:rRNA from 1 species